CCUUACUCAUCUCCUUGUCUUCUUUAUUUUCCUUAAAUAAACUAUUUUUUUUCAGCUCUAUAAAAUACGUUUUUGCUUGCUUGUUUGUUUUUCAUGGCAUUACCAUAGGCAGGAAAUAACAAGGCUCUCGAUUUCCUGUUUCACCAUAUCCAGACUCUUCGCUACAGUCUUCAUGCUUCUGUUACAAUCACCGAUGAUGUUAGGUGGUGAUUGCGGCCAAAUCUUAUUGGAUGGUUGUUCACAAACCUGGACUCACCAAGCAAAGCUGCAUCUUGAAGUCACAGCUUCCAAGACUCAGCUCAAAUUCUUUCACUUUUAGAAACGUAGCCAGAUCUCCUGAUAUGGAAACCUGUUACGAGUCUCUCUGUGAGACUGAGAUCAAUCAGUCAAAAAAACAGCACAAGUUUGGGAAGAGUGGUCAAGUGGACAUUCAAUCCAUGAUUAAGGGACUGCUGCAAACGUGAGAAUUUGCUCCCAUUCCUCUGAGAAGAUACUAAUGUGAAUGGCUUUAUUAGGGAGAAAUCUCCUGCCUAUUUAACAACCUGACAGAAUCCUACAGCAUAAGCUGGCAUACUAGUCCAGAAAAUCUGCCAAGAUGAUCCCAGCAGCACCUUAUCAUUAGCAACUACUGAUAUGAUUGUUAUGACUUCACUGAACCCACCAUCAAUGAAAUCUUGAGCGUAUACUUUGAAUUUAGGACUUUCUCCCAGCCAGGUACUCCAAUCAUGGAAGUGGUCAUUUGGACUUGAGUGCUGUCAACUCAGCAUUGUUGUUGGAGUGACCAGUUAGUUCAGUAUUACAGAGUUGAGGGGAGUGAGCAGAAUUCAUCUUUUUUCACAUUGCUGCUCUCAAUGGACUUUCUUCCUGAGAAGACUACAGUGAAUAGUGUCAGGAACUUGUAAAACUAUGUAUUGUUAAAUCUAAGACACCUAUUUCUGUUCUCCACAUUCCUACCCUUAUGAAUUUUCCAAGGUCCUCUGAGUCUUUUUCAUGGGAAAAUAUCGACAAAGGCAGGUUGGUCAUGACUAGAUUAUCUCGGCAAAGAACAGCUAAAAGGUCAUUCAGUCUUGUAUCUCUGAAACAACUAACCUUCUUUGGAAGUAAAUGAAGUAAUUCUCUUUGCUGCUGAUUUGUUUCAAAAAUAGGAAAAGGUAGAACAAUAGGCACAUUAUGCAGAGUGUUUCUGAAAAGAACUUUUAUAAAUUGGUAAUUUAGAAAAUCAGUGGGUUGCAGACGAGACACAGCAUCCUCUGUUGAGCUUUCAGCAAUAACAGAAGUGUCAUUUGAGUACACUCUUUAAUCAAACUUUUUACGAUCUAUACCCGGUCUGUGCAGAGUUGAGUACUUGGGGCUGAGUGAUAUAUUCCAAUGCCUCCUACUUCCAUGAAAUCUAAGAUGCUACUUUAUCAAGCUCAUUUUCCACAGGAGGGAGGUUGAGCAGACAGAGAGGCUGAGCAGUACAUCCAAGGUCAUGCUAAAAGUGAAUGGUUGAAUAUGUGUUUCUCAUCCUUUCCUUUUGAUUCAGCACUCCUGUGUGCUUAUAAAGGAUGACUAACCCCAAUUUAUCACUCAGCUAUUUCUACACCCUUUCCUAUCUGGUAAAAAUUACAUUGAUUUUGGCCAGGAUGUCAGGGAACUACACUUACUCUCAAGAAAGGCAAAAGUCCCUCCCAGAACUAGGAAAUUAAUUUCAAUUGAUCUGAAUGUUGACUUAUAAUUUCAGUCCCUAAAUGUUGAUGGUUGCUUUAGGGGUAAACGUAUAACAUGCUUUCAGCAAACGAGACUUAAAUGUAAAUGAGUUGGAAGACUUCCUUUCCUGAAGUAAACCAUAGCCUUUUCUGGUCCUUAAAUCUAUCUCCUAUGGAGGCAUGAGCAUCUUUAGAGCUGUAAUAACUAUCUGUAUCUAUAAGGUAAAUAGUGGAGCGAUAAAAAUGGCCUAAGGUCCUUGGGUAUAUUUAUGAGUUAAUAUUAAAAAAAAACCUGGAAAUACCUCCAGAGUUCAUGCCAAGUAAGAUAAUUUAAAGUUUUUCAAGUCGAAGCCACUAUAUUCCUUUAAAUUCAAUUUAAAGCAUUCCUAGUGAACCGAUGAGGUUAGUGCAUAUUGGAAAUACAGCGUCUUGCAUGCUUACAGAGAAAGUGGGGGUUACCAGGAGUAAACUAAGCUUUGAGUGAAAAAGAUGGUCAUUUAAGUCUAAAUAGGGAAGUCUAAAUUGUGAAGGAUAAAACUGAUACCCUCCUUGAGUCACAAUUAAGAAUGAAUUUGUCAGAUUCACAGUUUGCAAACACUGUUUCUGUGAUGUAGCUUGCCUCUUCACUAUGUUGAUUGUUUAUUUUGCUGUGCAGAAGGUUUUUAGUUUAAUUAAGUUUCAUUUAUCUAUUUUUAUUUUUGUUGAGUUUGCUUUUGAGGACUUGGUAAUAAAUUAUUUACGUAGGCCAAUGUACAGAAGAGGUUUUCCCAGGUUUUCCUCUAGGAUUUUUAUAGUUUCAGGUCUUACAUUUUAUCUUGAGGUAAUUUUUGCAUAUGGUGAGAGGUAUGGGUACAGUUUCAUUCUUCUGCUUAUGGCUAUCAAAUUUUCUCAGCACCAUGUAUUGAAUAGGCUAUCCUUUCCCCAGGGUAUAUUUUUGCUGACUUUCUCAGUUAGUGGGACGUAUAUGGCUUAUUUCUAAGUUCUCUAUUCUGCUCCAUUGAUCCAUAUGUCUAUUUUCACACAGGUGCCAUGUUGUUUUGGUUACCAUAGCUUUGUGGUAUAAUUUGAAGUCAGGCAAUGCGAUGCCCCCAGCUUUGUCCUUUUUGCAUACGAUUGUUUUGGCUAUCUGGGCUUUUUUUGGGUUUCAUAUUAAUUUUAGGAUUGUUUUUUAUAAUUCUAUGAACAUUGAUGUUAAUAAUUUGAUAGGGAUCGCAUUGACUCUGUAAUUUUUUUGAGAAGUGUGGUUACUUUAACAAUAUUGAUUUUUCCAAUUCAUUAGCAUAGGAUGCUUUUCAGUUUGUGUCAUGUACGAUUUAUUUCAUCAGUGUUUUGUAAUUCUCCUAAUAGAGAUUUUUUUUUUUACCUCCUUGUUAAGUAUGUUCCUAUGGAACUAAAACAGCUCAAGAAGAGAAAAAGAAAAAACAAACCUAGUAAAGAAUGAGCAGAGUUUAUGAAUGGAUAAAAAGACAUAUAAGUGGCCAACAAAUAUAUGACAAAAUGUUCGACAUUAUUAAUCAUCAUAUACAUACAAAUUCAAACCACAAGAUGUCAUCUUAUAUCAGUCAGAAUAUCUAUUAUUAAAAAGUCAAAAAACAACAGAUGUUGAUCAGGAUUUGGAAGAAACGGAACAUUUAUACACUGUUGGUGUGAAUGUAAAUUAGUAUAGCUUUCAUGAAAAACAGUAUGGAAAUGUCUCAAAUAACUAAAAACAGAACUACCAUUCAACCAGACAAUUCCACUGAGUAUCUACCUAAGAAGAAAUAAAUAAUUACAUCAAAAAGAUACCUGCAUUUGUAUGUUUAUCACAACACUAUU